AUGACACUUCUCAGUGAGCAUUAUGAUAAGGGUCACCGUGGGCGGCUUAUGGCGGAUGAGAGACAGGUCUUUUGUCCCCUGCGCCUGAGGGCUCAUGAGGCUUCAUCCAAUAAGAUGAGAUAUGAUGAGCGGUACACACAGUACAUUGAGAGGCUGGGACUCCUUCCAUUCAUCCAGCUUGUCACUCGGUCGACGCCAAGCAUGAACCCUUGUGCGAUCACCGCGCUUGUUGACCGCUGGAGGCCGGAGACUCACAGUUUUCACCUCCGGACUGGGGAGAUGAUUGUGACUCUCCAGGAUGUUUCGAUGAUCCUGGCACUUCCCAUCGAGGGAGUUCCUGUUUGUUUUAGCACUGGUGCUGCUGGUUGGCGCGGUAGGAUGUUUGAGCUUAUCGGUGCAGUUCCUGCGGUGCCGGAAGACCCAACUAAAAACAGAGUCCCCGCCGGCGCGACUUAUGUCUGGAUUGUAGAACAUUUUAGUCAGUGCCCCGAUGAUGCUAGUGAGGAGAUGGUGCAACAAUAUGCACACGCAUACUUGUGGUAUGUGAUCUCGAGGACUCUGUUUGCCGACGGUGGUGGCAGGACCGCUUCGUGGAUGUGGCUGAAUGCAUUAUCUGGUUGGGAUAGUAAACAGAGCUGGGGUUCG
rnacentral:rRNA from 1 species